rnacentral:lncRNA from 1 species
GACCUGUUUUUGAGACUAGCUUCCUCCUUACAGGGAUGUGGUUUUCCUCAUGGACUGCUCAUUCUGAUCGGAUGUGUCCUCUGAAAGGCAGAGACAGGGGAAGGUGCGUCCUCGUCGAGCUUCCGCCUGUACCUUCCUAGUACCUCUGGCCAGCAGCAGCCUGUGUGCCCGUGCUCCCUGGACAUCCGUGAAUGUUUGAUGCUACAUCUCUACCCAAACUGAAGCUUCCCGCCUGCAUUCUGUCAACGGCACUUGCGGGCGGGGCGGGGGGGGGGGGCAACUUUUGGAACAGAAAGCUCCACCCAUCCUACUCCCUACUACCUGCAAUCAAACCAGCUAAAACACCCCACCUCAGACU